CAAAGUCUGCAACAAAAGAGACAACACUGCUCGACGGUCCCUUGACUAAACACCCAGGUAAGCCAUUCCCUUAUAUUUUGAGCAUUACUGUUGAGUAUCCAUGAAAAAUUUAAAAACCUCCAUAUUUUUGUAACACCCCUUACCCGUGUUCGACGCUGGAAUAGGGUACGAGGCAUUACCGGACUUAAUCAUACACAAACAUGCAAAAACCGGGCUAUAAAAUUUCUUUUAGAUCAAAACUUUAAAUACAUAACGUCUCAUACACGGGCCUCCGAAGCCUUAAACAUGCAUUGAAAAUAGUUAAGGACUAAACCGAGAAUCUUAGAAAAUUUUGGGAAAGCUUAGAAAAAUUUUCCAUGACACAAAGUCACAUGCCCGUGUGGACACAGGGACACGCCCGUGUGCCCAGGACACGCCCGUAUCCUUAGGCCGUGUAACUCUCUAACAAUGACGUCAGCGAAUAAUCUGAACUAUACGGCCAAGCCAUACGCCCGUCUGUUAAGGUCGUGUUCCCCCACACGGUUAAGACACACGGUCGUGUCUCAGCCUGUGUGGCCAACACUUAGGCUAUUUUCCAAGCCGCCUGUGUGGCCAACACUUAGGCUAUUUUCCAAGCCUUUAUGUUACUCUUAAUCCUUCACAUCUUUAUACCCAUCAAGGACACAUGUCAUGAAAUCAUUUUAAUGAUUUAGCAUCCAUAUUAAGACACAUUCAUGACAUUAACAUGUUACCAUUCAUACAUUUCACAUACUCAUAUAAUAUCAAGUCGAGACACAACAAUACCUAUUCAUUAGCCUUGUCAUUUAAUGACCACUUUUACCAAAUUUUCAUAAUUGCCAUCUUAUUUCCAUAUCAAAAAUUUAAUUCAUGGCCAUGACCAUUUCAAUUGGUCAUAGAGCAUUCAUCGUGCACUUAAUUCACAACACCAACCAUAUAUGGCUAACAAGCAUAAUCACAUCAUCACAUCACAAGCAUUAGAACAUAACAUAGAUAGAUAAGUUCACAAACCACAAUCAAUAUGAGCCACUCAUCAUGGCCAUAUAUAAGUAACUCAAUGUAAGCCAAUACCUUUGGCUAAUCAUAAUAAUAGCUAACAUAAAAACUAAGUCCUUAUACAUACCACUCACACGAAAAUGCUAAACAAAUAUGGGUCAAUACUUCGAAGGCAAUGGCCUGAUAGUGUGAUGCUGCUUCUGACGAUCUCCAACCCCAAGCUAACCUGUCACCACUAAAUAAAAGGAAAGGAAGGGAUUAAGCUUUAUAGAUUUGUAAGACCGUAUGAGAAAAAUAAGCAAUUUAUCAACUUGCUUUUCAAGGUAAUACAAUCAUAUUUGCACUUUUAUUUAUGUUGAGGUCAAACUAUUUUCUCGAGUCACAGUUGUUAAAUUAUUUAUAUCUAAAGCUACGAAACUUCAAAUUAAGUUUCGCCAAUUUUUACUUAAAACUAGACUCAUUUAUAUUCUUACGCUAAAAUUUUUAAAAUUUUUGGUCUAGCCAAUUAGUACAGUUUAUUCCUUUAAUUUACCCUUUUUUCGCUGUCUGACAGUUUUGACCCCUCUUCACUAAAAAUUUAUUAUCUCAUGAUACAGGACUCGGAUGACAUUCUUGUCUAUUUCUCUUGAAAAUAGACUCAUUAAAAAUUCGAAGAAUAUAAAUUAUAACCCAUAACUAUUUUUUGUAAAAUUUUCAAUGAUUUUCUCAAAUCAGAACAGGGGAUUUUGAAAUCAUUUUAACUGUCUCACAACAAUUUAAAUAUUUAAUAGUAUGAAACUCCUUUGCUUACACCAUUUCUUCUAUGUGAAACUAGACUCAUUAAGCUUUAAUUUCAUAUUUUAUUCAGUGCUAAAUCAAUUUCCACAAUUUUUGGUGGAUUUUCAAAUUCGAACUAUUGCUGCUGUCCAAAGCUGUUUUAGUGUAAAUUAAUGAUACUAAGUUUAUCACACCUUAUUAAUUCAUUUUCCCCACAUUGGUAAACAUACAUGUUUAUACAUCAUAAGUAUAGACCUAUAAUCAUAAGGUCAUCACAAAAUCAUUCUCAUAAGCAUGACUUACCUAUUUACAUCCUCACCAAAUAUGCACCGUAAACUGAAAUCAUUUCUCAUGAGCUUGGCAUACAUACCUGUGUUACUUAACAUGCUCACAUUCAUUCCUCACUAAUGAUACAACAUGAAUUGAGUUCACAUAUCAUCAAGAUCAUGUAAGUACCUGUACCACUCACAACAUAGCCAUUAUCUCUAUCAUUGCGACGUAAACCAUAAAUUUCUUGUUGAACCAUUUAGAACACUACAAGAUAUUCACUAAGCCUCAAACAUAGGGUAAGAUGUCGACGCCAUGUCCCAGACAUGGUCUUACAUUGGCUAGCACAUCAAAUUCGAUGCCAUGUCCCAAACAGGUCUUACACUGACUUUCAUAUAUCGAGGCCGAUGCCGUGUCCCAGACAGGUCUUACACUGGCUCUCAUCUAUCGGUGUCGAUGCCAUAUGCCAGAUAGGUCUUACACUAACACACAAAAAACUAACGCCAUGUCCCAGACAGGUCUUACACUAGCUUGUAUAUCUCGAGGCCGAUGCAUGUCCCAGACAUGUCUUACAUUGGCUCUCAUAAUGUGGCCGAUGCAUGUCCCAGACAUGCCUUACACUAGCACACAUAUCACGCAAUGUCAUGGCAUGAAUAACCAAAUCUAUUCUUAGUGUUCAACCGGGAGUCUUUAUUACAUUAAUCUCUCAACGUGCAUCCUCAUAUUCACCAUCAAAGCAAUUUAUGCAAUAUCAAUUCAAUCACAUAUCAUAACAAUGUAGUUGCAUUAUUAACAUACAACUUACUUGUUUCAAUGGAAUGUCAUAUUCCAUCAACAUAUAAUUAAAUACAAUCGUAACGAAAUAGAUUUCAAGUAAAUUAACAAUAGCAUGGAUAACAUGUUUAUUUAGUCACACAAACUUACCUCAAAUGCAAUUUCGGCUAAUUAUUCUCUUUUAUCCUUCACCACGUACUUUCUCGAUUUAAGCCUGAAUCUCGAUUUUUCUUGAUCUAACAUGAUGAAAUUCACUCAUUUAAUCACUAAAUAAAUUUGGGCAAUCAAAAUUCACAUUUUUGGAAAAAUGACCAUUUUUCCCCUAGACUUUCACAAAAUGACCAUUUUACCCAUAGGCCCAAAAAUUGAUUUUUAUCGAAUUUCCUUAUUAGCCAAGCCUAAUAGACCAUUUAUUACUCUUAUGAAAACCCCAAAUUUCCACUAUUUCACACAAUUACAACGUAUUUUAUAACUUUUACAAAAUGGCCCUUUUAGGUGUUUUCCAUGAAAAUCACUUUACAAAAGUUGUUUAUUUCACAACCAUAACUCAUUCUUUCAUAAAAUUUCAGUUAAAAACACAUGCUUUCAUGGAAAAACCCUAGACUCUCAACCAUUUUGCAAAAUAGUCCUUUCAAUAGCUAGAUUAAGCUUUAGGGGUCCUAAAAAUGUGAAAAUCAUCAAGAAAUACCAUCAAAAUCACUUACUUGAAUGAGUGAAGAGUGGCUGCAAAUUUCAAGCUUUCAAAACCCUUAUUUUUCUAUUAUUUUCAGUGGAGAGAAUGAAGGUGAAAAGAUGAUAUCACUUUCUCUUUUUUUUUUAUUUCUAGUCAAAACAAAAUCACCAACUUCACCAACUUUUGACUUUUCGUACUCAUCUUUGUCUCUAUGGCCGGCCUAGCAUUUCUUAAGGGUCCAUUUGCUCUUUAAAUACCUCAAAUUUUGGUUCUCUAGCUAUUUAACAUAUUUAUCUAGCAAAACAAAACUUUUGCCCUUUAUGCGAUUUAGUCAUUUUUCUCAAUUAAGCUAGCAAUCGCUAAAAUUAUUUCACCAAAAUUUUCAUGCACUCAUAUAAUCAUACUAUAACACAUAAAAUAACAUUAAAAAUAAUUUCUCUGGCCCCGGAAUAGUGGUUCUGAAACCACUGUUCUGACUAGGCCCAAAAUCGGGCUGUUACAAUUUUUAUUGUUGUAGGGCACUACAGAAGAACAUGAUUGUUGUCUUCUUUAUUCUAGUGACACCUAGGACACUGAUCUUCAACAGCCACUCUUUUCAGCUUGAGAUUUGAAAAAUUAGGAAUAUAGUUAUUUUCCAUACUAUAAUUUUCACUUUCGAAGGAAUGUUUAGAUUCCACAGCUUUUUGUAAAAAGCUUUAGUAUCGACCUGUAUAAAAUUACUAGGAUUUAGAGUAGUUUCUUGUAAUAGCUUAUAGGCGCUCCUCACAAAAAAAUUCCCAGAUGGUUUUCCUCUCCAAACUUGGAAAUCAUCGUGGACUGACCUCGCCAAAGGGAUCUGCAUAAUCUUUUUAGCAAUAUCUAGCUAGAAGGUAUUGACAAUUAAUUCAGUCUUCCACUCUCUAUUUUCAUCAUCAAUUAAGUCCGACACUAACUCUAUAUUUUCAUUUCUGCUUUGAUUCUGAAUCUUAUCUUCUUCAUUACUCGACACCCAAAGGUCUGUCCAAACUGAGAUGCGAUCCACCUUACCAACCCUCCAACAUAAACCUUUCUCCAGAAUUCUUUUGGCUGACCAGACACUCUUUCAAAUAAGUAAGGGUAAGUUUCCUAAAGAAGCAUUUAAAAAAUUCGAAUUCUGAUAAUACUUAGCUUUCAAAACUCGGGCUAACGAAGAAUUGGGAUAAUUAAUAAAAUGUCAACCCUGUUUAGUUAAUAGUGCGAUAUUAAAUAUAUCAAUUUUUUGAAAACCAAGGCCUCUAACUUUUUUUAACGAACAAAUAUCAUUAUGCACACCAAUGUAUACCCAUUUUUCCUCUAUGUUUUUACCACCAAAAUCUCUCAAUUAUACCCUCCAAAUUGGCACAUAAAGACUUAGGAAGUAAAAAUCAAGCCAUUGAAUAAGUUGGAAUAGAUUGAAGAACAGCUUUAAUAAAACCCUCCUUACCCCCUUGAGAAAAGUACUUGAUACUCCAAUUAUCAAUUCUUUGCUGUAGUAUAUCCUUCAAGUUCUGAAAAGCUACUUUCUUUUUUUUACCCACCAAAUUAGGUAAACCUUGAUACUGUUCCAGAUCAUUUGUGCUAUGUAUUCCGAGCACUUUAAUUGUUAUUUUUUUAACCUCCUCCUGCGUAUUAGUGCUGAAAAAAAAGUAGACAUUGAAUAGCUAAUACUUUGACCAGAACAGAUUUCAUAUUCAUGUAGAAUUUGCUUUAAUGAACUUGCACCUCUUUCAGUAGCUUCCCCAAGCAAAAUGCAGUCAUCUGCAAAAAAGUAGAUGUGAAAUAUGUGGACCACUUCUGCUUGCUUUGACUCAUCUAAUUGUUUUUUCUUGAAUUUCUAGCCUUAUAAGACUAGAUAGACCUUCUCCACAAAAUAAAAAUAAAAAUGGGCUCAAAGGAUCUCCCUGUCUUAAUCCUUUAAAAGGAAAGAAAGUUUCUCCAAUAUAACCAUUCAAGAUCACCGAAUACGAUAUUGUUUUAAUGCAUUUCAUUAGUGAAGCAACAUUCCAAGUCAAAUCCCAAUUUCUUUAUUAUUUCUUCUACGAAAUUCCACUCAACUCUGUCGUACACUUUGCCCAUAUCCAAUUUCACCGCCAUAAAUCCUUUUUUCCCUGACCUCUUUUGUUUUAAAGUAUGUAGGAGUUCAUAGGCUAGCAAAACAUUAUCAAAAAUCAGUCUUCUGGGUGCAAAAGCACUUUUUGUUAAAUCAAUGCACUUAUCUAUUACAAUUCGGAGACGAUUAGCAAUAACUUUAGCCAUCAAUUUAUAAAGCACAUUGCACAAGCUGAUCGGCCUAAAUUGAGUUAUAUUCGAAGGAUUUGAAAUUUUCAAACUUAACACAAUAUUAGUUUUGUUGAUUGAGCUAAUAUCCAUACCUCCAUUUAGUUGAUGAAGACAAAAUUAUGUAACAUCUUCCCAUAUAAUUGGCCAACACUUCUGGUAGAAUAACGUUGGUAAACCAUCCUCUCCUGGUGCUUCUGUAGGGCCUAAUUCUGCUAAUGCCUUCUAGAUCUCUUCCUUCAUGUAGCUCCCAUUAAGUUUUGAAUUAUCCUCAUAAAUAUACAAUGAUUAAUUCCUAAUAAAAUGUGAUCAUAAUUUCCCUUUCUUCCAGCGGAGAACAAGUGUUGGAAGUACGAUCUGGCUAUUUCUCCCAUUUUUUCGAUUUCAUUCAUUUCCCUCUAUCAUCAAAUUGCAUUUUACGAAUAAAAUCCCUCUGUCGUUUCUAUGUUGCUUGCGAAUUUCAGCCAAUUAGCUCGUGCCCGUUGUUCCCAGUAACGCUCAUCCUUUUCAAUUUCAAAAUUGAGUUGAAUUUUUGUAUCAAUGAGAUCCGCCAAAGUUUCAUCAUUUCUCUCAACUUUCAGCAAUUUAACCAGUUUUAAAGUUAACUCCUCUUUCUUCUCUUUUAUGCUAUAUCGAAACUGAUUAGCCCAUCUCUUCAAACAUCUCUUAAAAAUUUCUAACUUAUUCAAUAAAUCUCCUUCAGAAUUUUCUCAGAUGUUUCUAACCUCCAUAAUAAACAACUCUUCUAGAACUCACUAUGCUUCAAAUUUGAAACUUCUAUGAAUUUGCUUCUGGACAUCCUUUUUUUUUAAUAAUGAAUAAUGGACAAUGAUCUGAAAACGAAUGAGGAAGAUGCUGUAGUUGAAACUCAGGAAAUAGAAAGAACCAAACAACAGUUGCGACUCCUCUAUGUAAGCGCCCUUGAAUAUUUGUUUCUGGCAAAUUCCCCCUUUCCCAAGUAAACCAAUUUCCAGUAAAUCCCAUAUCCAUCAGAUUGCAUUCCUCCAACACCUUACAAAAAGCUUCCAUUCGCCUCUCCUCUCGUAGUAAAGCUCUUUUUUUUUUGAAGCCAUACAAGAAUUUAUUAAAGUUUCCAUAAACCAUCCAUGGAAGCUCCCCAACAUUCCCUAAUUGUCUUAAAAGAUUCCAUGCUUCAUCUCUCUCUUGGGAAUAAGGAGACCCAUAAAAACCAGUAAACCUCAAUUUGUUUCUUUCAUCCACAUCUUCUAUUAUCACAUCAAUAUGUCAUUUCGAAAAACUUUGAAGCAUUACAUUAUUAUCACCACGCCAAGCCAAACAUAAUCCACCUCUAGAUCUAUUUGAAUCAACAUCGAUGCCAUUGAAAAAACCAUAACUUCUUCGAACAUGUUCCAUCUGACUCCUACUAAUUUUUGUCUCUAUAAAGAAGACCAUUUGGGGAUUAUAUGACUUCAACAAGUGCCAAAGUCUACGAACUGACCGUGGAUUCCCUAAAUCACGGACAUUCCAAUUUAAGAUUUUCAUUACACCCGGCCGGCUUGCCUCUUGGCAGCCGCCGAUGAUAAAUGAUUAAUUUCCCCUAUUCUCAUAUUCCUUACCGCCAAAGUAUUAAUCUCUUCAUUGGCUGGUAAAUCUUCAAUCUCCCCCCGCUUCUCUUUUUGCCCUCCUCUCCAAUUAACACAUCAUCUUCUAGAUCAUGUUCUAUUGAGGCAUGAAAUGACCCACAUAUGAAUUUUCGCCCUUUCUAAGUUAAUCCCCGAUAUUGGAUCUAUAUUAUUCCUGUUCCCCAUAAUUUUUCCUAAACCCCUCAAGCUAUUUCCUAAUAUUUGACUUCCCUCCCAAUUACCACCCUAUUCUCCCUCUCCUUCUUCCUGGAGCCAAACGCUAUUCAUUGCUAAAGCCUUACGAAAUUGUGCUCUUAAUGAUAAAUCCUAUCCCAUUUCAGCAACUUCCACUCCUAAAGCAUUUUCGCUUCACAAAAGGAGUCAUUAUGGCCCAAACGACCACAAUAAAAACAGAAUAGUGAUAAUCGUCCAUAUUUAAAUCUAACAUGAACACUUCCCAAAAAACAUAAUAUGUUUCUUCCUCUUCAAGGGACGCCGUAUAUCAAUUUGGGCUCUUAUUAUCAUAAAAUUUAUAUUUUCUUUUCCCAAAUUUGAGCCAUCAUACUCCAUGAAAGUACCUAUAAAAUUACCUAGUUGCAUCGCCAAAUUUUCAGAGAAAAAAUGAACUGGGAUGUCAUGAAUCUGUACUAAAAAAGGUGUAUAAAUUAAUGGGAUUUUUUAUGGAUCCUCCCCCUAUUGUAACUUAUGUAGCACCAAUAAAUGAUUAUUAAAAGUCCAUGGUGAACCCUUUAAGACCCUCUCCAUAUCCCUAACAUGAGAAAAAUUGAAACAAAUACCUUUUCUUCCUCAGAUCUCAAAUUUGAAGCCCCCGAACAAGAUGCCAUAGAUUUGCCAUGGUACUUUUCAUUGCUGGAAAAUGAAUGAUACUAGCUGUUAGGAAACAACCUACUAGUCGAAAAGCCCUUACCUCUCUUUCCGAAUUUAGGUCGCUUUGUACUUGUAGAACUGCAUCUUCCUCCUCGUUAAUCGUAAGUCCAGCAAAUUCCGCUUCCAUAACAAUGUUUAGAACUCAAUCGUAUGAUUCAACUGAUCAAAAGAGUGAAAGAAAUUUUAAAGAUCUUUCCGCCUUCGACCAAACAAAAGACUAAAAAACAAAAAACCUAAAACUAUUAGAGAAAGCAGACAGAGACGUGCUAGGGUAGCAGACUAUAUUUAUUUUAUUUUUUAAAAAUAAAUAAAACACAAAAAAAAGAUAAAAUAUAAAAAAUUGUCAAACAAAUUCAAAAAAAUCUCAAAAAAUUAAAAAAUAUAAAAAAAUGGUAAGUUGCAUAAAAUUUCUAGAAAUUAAAAAAUAUAUAUGUUUACAAAAACUAAAGUUAAAAAAGUCCAUAAAAAAGUGUCAAAAAAUAGAAAAAAAUUUAAAAAUCAGAAAGAAAAUAUGUAAACUUUAAAACAUUGAAAACAAUUUUUUUUCACUUUGUCCAAUAGUAUACCUGUUCAUGGGCUGGACCAGGCCGGGUCUUGUCAAAAUUUUAGGCCCGAAUCAGGCCCGCCUGCUUCGACUAAAUUAAAUUUUUUAUUAAAAAAUUAAAAAUAUAAUACAUUAAAAAUACUAAAAACACUAAAAUAAAUGUUUCCCAAUAAAUUGAAAAUAAAUUUUAAAAAUAUUUAUACUUAAAUAACACUAAGAUAUGUGUAACUUAACAAGAAAAUGUCCCUAAAAUAGUAACAAAAUUAAAAAUAAAACAAGAGUUAUACAAUAUUCAAAUAAUAACAACAAAAUAAUAGUAAUAUAAUAAUGAAAUUGCAGUAAAACAACAAGAAAAUAGUAAAAAAAACAAUAAGAAAACAUUAGUUCCUUUUUCUUUUUUGUAAAUUCGGGUUGGAUCAAGCCUAGGACAAAAAAAUUUACCCAAGGCUCAACCCGUUUUCUAAACAGGCCUCUUUUUUUUUUUGUCCAAACCCAUUUUUCAGGCCUAUAUUUUUUUCUAAACCCUCUCACUUUUUAGACAGGGAGACUUGGCCCAUGGAUAAGUCUAGCCCAUAGUAUAAUAUAUUUUUAAAUAUUUUGAAUCCAAUAAUCGAAUUUAAAAUUAUCAAUAUAACACAAAACAAAACAACCAAUAUCACACUUUUUAAAAUUUUAUAUUUUCAUUCCAUAUUUUAAAGCUUUUCAUAUUUUUCUGAUUUAAAAAAAAAAGAAGAGUUUUAUGAAUUCUUUUGAUAAUUUUUGUAAUUUGGCUCUUUUUUAUCUUUAUGUAUUUUUUAAACGGAAUUUUUUUAAAUUUCUGGAAAUUUUAUAUAACUUUAAUUUUAUUUUCUGAUUUGUUAAUAUUUUUUGAGAUUUUUCUAAAUUUUUUAGAAAAUUUUUGUAUUCAUCUCUUUUUUUGUGUUUUAUGUAUUUUUUAAAAAAUAAAAAUAAAUAUUUUUUAAAUAUUGGGAUUUUUAUAUAAUUAAAUAUAUACCUUUUUGUUUUUAAAAAAACUUUUGAGAAUUUUUUUGAUUUUACUUUUUUAAAUUUAUUUCUAAAAAAUAAAGUAUAGGUGACUUGGUGCGCUCUCAACGUGUCACGUCACUAGGGGCAAAGCCAAAAAAAUUUUUAGGGAGGGGCUAAAGUUAAAUUGUAAUUUUUAGAAUAGUAAAAAUGUAAUUUCACCAUUUGAAUAACCUGUAUUUUUAUAAUUUUUAGAAGAUUAAAUCAAAUUUGUAUUAUUUUUAGGGGGUCAAACCGUAAUUUUACCUUUAUUAGUUUAAAAUUUUAAAAAUUUUAAAGGGCUUAAAUAUAAAAUUUUUCAUUUUAGAGGAGUCGGACCCUGCAGCCCCAGAUACACCCCCUACAAGUCACUUUUUUUUUAACACCAUUAACGACCAGGGAAAACUGAUAAUGGAUUGGAAUAGAUAAAAAAAAUUAUUUAGGUACCAAAGUGAUAAAUGGGUUCAAAUUUGGGGCAAAUGGUAUAUUAACCCUAGAUGAUAUAUAUAUAAAAGAAGGAGCACGUUGAUUCAUGAUGACACAGAGAAGAGUGCUAUUCAUAAUGGAGUUUGUGUGCAGUUCUAUCUGUACCUUGCAUCUAAGAUGUCCACGUUUGCAUUAUGCAAACAUCCGUUUUGCUCCUCCUCUUUCACUUCACCUUUCAUUUUCUUUCUAUUGUUUUAAAUAAAAAUGAUCUUCCAAAGAAGACACUGCUGCAAACCUAGAAACCUUAUUCCUUGUUCAUGUUAUAAUUGGUAUUGGUAUGUUGAUUCCUUCUUCCUAUUGUAAAAUUUUUAUCAUUUAGUCUCUACUUGAUCGGGAGGGAGCAUUGAAGUAUGUCGGUUUUCUAAUGGAAAGUUCUAACUUUUUCUUUUUGUUAAAAGGUCUGAAUGACUCAAUCUGUCACCCUCUGCUCUUUUGGACUUCUUUGUUUUGCAUUCAACUUAUUACUGUUGUUGUUUUCUGAUAUUUGUUGAAGUUUUUGAAUUAGGGUUUUGCAGAAUUGGUAGUGGGGGUAUUAAAAAGAUAAAUACCAGAGCCAGAAGGAAAAGUCCCAUUGAAGCAAGAAGAAGUAAAUUACUAAUCAUAGUUAACAUGCAAGAACAUUGACAGGGCAUUUUGCAUACCUCUGGGAGCUUUACCUCGUCUACCACCGUAUCUUCCUGCUCCUGUUAGUAGUUUACCAUGCCAUUGGCUCCGUCUGAUCGAAUAGCUCUUUUUGACACGUUUCAAACUGGAAUUCUAAUAUUGGUUUCUGGUUUUGUAGACGUUGAAGCUUUUAGCUAAAGUUGCAGUACUCAAAGAGGAGGUCAUUUGGCUCGAAGAGCAGGUCAUACACUUUAGGCAGGACUUGUAUCGAGAAGUUGUCUGUAAAUCAUUGUUGAAAUGGAAAAUGGAGAAUUCAGCUGAUUGAGAGAGCCUUGUCUGGAUAAUAGUACUAAAUCUCAGCUAUCUACAACGUCAACUCGAAAUACAUGAAUGGCAAGGCAUUCGAGAUCGUUUUCGGGUAAGCCCUUUUGUGGUUUUUAAUUCCUCAUCUUAUGGCAUUAUCAUUUGAUGCAUAUUGGUAUCGAAGUAGGCCGUCUUUCAAGGAAAGCUAGUAGUACCUACUGCAGGCUAAUAUACCAAAGGCUAUCUCAUGUGGCCCAUAGGAGGCCUUAGUUUUCUGAAUCAAUUUUGUCAUUUAAUCAAUGAGCGGCAUGUUAAGGAGCCGUUGCGUAGGCUAGCUCCUGCUCUAUCAUCUGGUUAUGACCUGUUUGGACGCCAUUGAAUAGCAAAUACUAAUUGAAGUUUUGAAUUAAAUUCGAGCAGUCCAAUAUCAGUCCUUCACAUUUAUCCACCACGGCUUGGUAAUACAUCAGCAUUUAGUGAUGCAACAUUCAAACCCAACUAUUCUUAUUCUUCUCUGCCCAAAAGAAGUAUAUAUACUAUAGGUUGAAAUACACCAUAAGUCCUAUGCCCUUAACAAAUUUAGAAUUUAGUUUUUAUUUUAUUUUUAGGAUUUUAGUCUCUCUAAUUUUCAGAUUUCAAAAUGCAAGGCCAAUUAUUAAUGUCGUAACCAUUUUUUGAAAAACGGGAAUCAAUUUGGAUUUUGAAAAUGAACACAAAAGACGGGAGUCGCCACCGAUCCUUUUUGACUAGGUGUGAUCGGGUCACCUCGUUAAAGUGGUUGUUUUUAAUAAAUAACUUGAUUUAUUUAAACAACAAUUUUGGUCUACGCAAAUCAAGAAAAUAGGUUCGGGAGUCGGUUACGCACGAGGAAGGAUUAGCACCCUCGAUACGCCCAAAAUUGGGACCUAGUUGAUUAAUUAGUGUCUUAGUGUCGAAGAAUGAAAACUUGGAAGACUUUUGAAAUACGAUCCCUCUUUAUAAAGAAAAUGCUUAAAUAUUAAAGAUCUUCUCGUCUCAAAUAUGAAAUGUCAUAUCCAGUGAGUUAGGACACAUCUUGAAUUUUCGAGAGCGAGCUUGCCUUUUGUAAAAUCUGUGUAUUUUAAAGGGUAUUCGAUUAUUUAGAGUGAACGAGAGAAAUCGAAACCCAGUAAGUUAGGGCACGUUUUCUCGAAUUUUCAAACACCGAAUAUUGCCUUUAUUCCAAAACAAAUUCUUAUUUCGAGAUGACAAAAUGUCAUACCCAGUAAGUUAGGGCACAACACUUCGCAUCUUCGAGAAUAAGUAUUUUCAAAACUCGUAUAAUGAUUUAAAAAUAAUAUAUUCUGUUAUUUAGGUUAAAUGAGAAAAGUCGAAACCCAGUAAGUUAGGGCACGAUUAUCUCGAAUUACCUAAUACAGGAUAUUGCUUUUAUGAAAGAAUUGUUUGAAUAUAUUGAGUGACAAAAUAUAACGUGAUUUAUAAAAGUAAAUUUUGGUAUUAAUAAUAAUGUAUAAUAAUGAGCGUGACGAUAUCAAAAUAAUAAUGUGAGCAAUUACAUAAAAAUGAAAUAAUAGCAAGCCUAGUAAUGUGUAAAUAUAGACAAACGCAUGAGGAAAAUAAAACCAUCGAAUAAAAAUGCAUAUAACAUGACAAAAGAAAAAUGGCAAUGAUGACGAAAACAAUAAUAGCAAUAGUAUAAAACGAUAAUAAUACAUAUGGUAUUGAAAUUUAUAUAAUAAUGGAAACAAAACAAACAAAACAAACAAAAAUAUAUAUGAUAUAUUAAAAAUAUACGGGAUAUAUAUAUAUGAAAUGAGUACAUAAUAGUCAUAAAAAUAUACAUAAUAGAAUGUACAAACAAUAUGAUAUUUACAAUGUAUAUGUACAUAAUAUAUAUGAUAUGUAUAAUAUUAAUAUACAUGUGCAUAAUAUGGAGUAUUAUAUAUAUAUAUUAGAAGGAUGUAUGUAUGAUAUACAAAUGCAUUAACAAAACAAUAAUACCAAAAAUUAAUAAUAAUAUAUAAAUGUAGACGUAUAUGUAUAGGUUAAAAAUAUAUACACAUAUAAUAAUACAUACACUAACAUUAUUAUUAAAUAUAAUGGGGGUAAAAAUAGAUAUAACAUAUACGCGUAUAGUAUGGUAUUUAAAUGCGUAUACAUGAAAUAUAUAUUGGGAAUAAUAAUAAUAUAUAAACAUAUAAAAUAUAUAUGUAAGUGUUAAAUGGAAAGUAAAAAGAUUACUAAAUAAUAGUAUAAACAUGAUAAUAAUAACAAUGAGAAUAAUAAAUAAAAUGAUAAAUAAUAUUUAGAAAAUAAAAAAAGGGCAAAAAUAAUAUAAAAAACGUAUUAAAUAUGAAAAAGGGACUGAAUUCGAAACAAAAUAAAGAUUCGGGGCCGAUUAAAAAAUAAUAAAGGAGAAAUGGACUAAUUUGAAAACGCGCGCGACUGCGGAGGGCCAAAAAGGAAAUUUUCCCGAGCCCUUAAAACGCAUCACUGAAGGGAGGGCCAAAUCGCAAUAUGCGACAAACUUCUGGGUUAAUUUAAAAUAAAUAAGAACUUGAUUGCAAAAUAUACAAAAAGUGGAAGGACUGCGCAAGCAAUUAGACCAUGCUUGCAAAAACACGCGGAUCCUUCGGGCAGACGGGUCGGGUCGUGGAUCGGGUCGCUAAACGACGUCGUUUUGGGUGCUGAAUGCACGCCCCAAAACGACGUCGUACCGGGGGCCUUUAAAAGUCAAGUUUUUUUUUUAAAACUUCAUUUUUCAUUCCUUUCAGCAAAAAAAAAGGGCUGAAAACCUCUCUCCCUCUCUCCUUUCUCUGCAGCGAUCCCAGAAACCGGCGAAGAACCGACCGUCCGCUGCCGUGUUAUCCGCCAUGCCGGCCACCGUACGCGGUGGCUGAAAAUCACUCCAGGUAUGAUUUUUUUUAUAUUUUUUUUGCUGUAUUUUACACGGUGGCCGGAAAUCACUCCAGGUAUGAUUUUUUUUAAUAUUUUUUUUGCUAUAUUUUAGUGCUUAUGAAUAUGUAUGUAUAUAUUAUUUUUAGUGUAAAUCAAACGAAAAAAAUAUUUAGAAAAUAGAUCCGAAAGAGAAUAGUUAAACCUUGCCUUGCGCUUCUUUGAACUCCGUUCGAUUUUUCGUUGCAACUUUAUGCCUAUGUUUUCGAUCUGUUUUUGUUUUUUGGUCUAAUGUUGCUUAUUAUUUUUACUGAAAAAUGCCCGAGUGACUACAUGGUUUUUAGAUUUGGCUUUUAAAUAGCCAUUACAUUUCUUUGUUUUGCUUUAUGUCACUUCCCGUUUAAUGCUUGCAGGAGCGCAACUUGGACGACAGUGGGGCGGUGCUGUAGGCGUCGGUGGAUGGGACAGGGGUCAGAGGCUGAACGGCUAGGGUUUUAGAUUUUCUUUCAUUUUUCUUUUUCUAUUUUGUGUUUGGGCCAUGUGGGUUUAGUGGGUUUUGGGUAGGUUAUUUGUGUUGGGUUUGGGAUUUUGUUAGGUUUAGUGGGUUGUUUAGUGGGUAUUUAGGGGUUAGUGGGUUUUAUUUGGGCCCCAAAAUUGGGCUGUACAGCUGCCCCUCUUUGCUUGUUGUCGUGUAAUGAGAACAAACCAAAGACUUAAGAAAGACCAAUUUUGCCCGGUCGCUGAGUCUUGACUUCUUUGGUGCUCUUAUUCUUCAGGUAGCUUCAUUCCAGUCUACUGCGGCUCGUCACUUUACUCCGCUCCAUUGCAACUUCGGAGAAACAAGACUUGUGAUUUGUAGUCUCAAUCUGUUCCUUCGCAACUUCAAGGAGAUAAGAUUCACUAGCUUCAGUCUAUUCCACUACAGUUUCAAGGAGGUGAGACAUGUGACUUCAAUCUACUCCGUUGAAACUUCGAGGAGAUCUGUUGUGGCUUCUAACCUCUCCAGUGCCAUUUCAAGGAGAAGAGAUUUGUAAUUUCUAGCCUGUUACCCUACGGUUUAGGGGGUUAAGGCUCACCGUUUUUUAUCUGCUCCACUACUGCUUAGGGAGGUAAGAUUUAUAAAUUCAGCCUGUUACCUUACUGCUUAGGGGUUUAAGGCUCUUUUACCUUCGAUCUAUUUCUCUGCUACUGAGGGAGAUAAGAUCUGCAAUUCUGUCUGUUACCCUACUCCUUAGGGGUUUAAGACCUAUCGCAUUCGAUCUGUUUCCCCAUUGCUUAGGGUGAUAAGAUCUUCAAAAUUCAGCUUGUUACCCUACUGCUUAGGUGUUAAAGCUCGACCUGUUUCCCUACUGCUUAGGGGUUUAGAUAUGUAAAUUCAACCUGUUACCCUACUGCUUAGGGGUUUAAGGUUUGAAAAUUUGGCUUGUUACCCUAUUGCUUAGGGGGUUGAAGCCUAUCACUUUCGAUCUGUUUCCCUAUUGCUUAGGGGGUAAGAUCUGUAAAUCUUCAGUCUACUCCACUGCGACUUCAGGGAGAUGAGACUUGCUAGAUUCGAUCUGUUCCACUGCAACUUCAGGGAGACAAGAUCCGUAAUUUUUAGCCUAUUACCCUACUGCUUAGGGGGGCUAAGGUCUGUAAAUUUAACCUGUUACCCUACUGCUUAGGGGUUUAAGGUUUGGUGAAUUCACUGAUUCUAGGGACAUGACCUGUAGAAUCAGCUCCAUGUAUUUAUGUUUAUGCCAAAGAAUUAGGAUGCUAUGAUUAAAGUGAAUCAAAUGCUCCUAAUUAGAUACAUUAUGAAUGAUCUAUGAAUGUAUGAAUGCAGCAUGUUGUGAGCGUGAAUCCUUGUUUAGGCUGCCAUUACUCUUUGUUCAUCAAGGUUCCUUCACUGAAAUGGUACCCUGUCUUUUUGUUCAGCUCCAAUUUGAACAGAAGACCUGAAGAGGUAGUCCCAAUUUAAACUCUUUCUUCUCAGAUGUUUCCGAUCUUUGAGUUUAGUUAGUUCUAAAAAAAUAGUCCUGUUUCAUGUUCCUGUACUAUUUAGAAACUUUCAGAAUAAUAUACAGAACUCUUUUUGUGAAAAUGGCUUUAGUCCAUUAAUCCAUCAUUUCAAUGCAAAAUGCUUGAAAAAGAUCAUAAUAAUGACAAAACUGAAAUUUAUCAGAAACAACAUUUGAAGGGAAUAGAUUAAUCACAGUCAACAAACAUUGCUGGAAUAAAAAAUGAAUAAAAGGGAAUAGGUACCCCAGAUAUCGCAGCGUGAGUUUUUCUGUACUGACUUCUUGAGGACUCAUUUUUUGCCCAAUAUGUGUUUAGGGGAUCUAGAGUACUCUUGCAGAUGUCCUAAGAUGUAACAUCUCUCAUCCUUGCUAAUUUAGGUACCAUAAGACCAUCACAUGCCCCACCUUUGAUCAAAAUUUUAAUCGCCCUUUACGGGUUUUCAAUUCAAAAUCCUUUUGGUCUCAAGGUGCUCUUUGCGAGUUUUCACCUUGGCCUCUCUUUUUUUUUAGGCGAAGUAUUUCUUAACCGAAUUCGAAUUCACGGGAUUGGAUAAAGUCUUGCCAUCCAUUUCAGCCAAUAUCAAUGCUCCGCCAGAAAAGGCUUUCUUCACCACAUAAGGCCCUUCCCAAUUUGGCAUCCAUUUUCCUCUAAAGUCCUUUUGUGUAGGCAGGAUCUUUUUCAGUACUAGAUCUCCUUCGUGGAACUCUCUGGGACGAACCUUUUUGUUGUAAGCUCGCACCAUUCACUUUUGGUACAUCUGACCAUGGCGAAUAGCCCGUAGCCUCUUUUCUUCAAUCAAAUUCAACUGAUCGUAUCGGGACUGGAUCCAUUCUGCUUCAUCCAACUUUACUUCUGACAAAACUCUGAGGGAAGGAAUCUCGACCUCAAUAGGUAAAACUACCUCAAUCCCAUAAACUAAUGAGAAAGGCGUUGCCCCAGUAGAAGUUCUGAUAGACGUUCGAUAAGUAUAGAGGGUGAAUGGUAGCUUCUCAUGCCAAUCUUUAUAAGUUUCUGUCAUCUUUCCUACAAUCUUCUUGAUGUUCUUAUUGGCUGCUUCGACUGCACCUUUCAUCUUCGGGCGAUACGGUGACAAGUUGUGAUGUCUGAUCUUGAACUAACUGCAGACAUCCGCUAUCGUGCUGUUGUUCAAAUUCAAUGCGUUGUCAGAUAUGAUCCUUUUCGGCAUUCCAUAUCGACAGAUGAUUUCCUUUUUCAGGAACUUGCUAACUGUUGAUUUAGUGACAUUGGCAUAUGAAGCGGCCUCCAUCCAUUUGGUGAAAUAAUCGAUGACCACAAAGAUGAAACGAUGCCCAUUUAAAGCUUUUGGUGAAAUUGGCCCAAUCACAUCCAUGCCCCACAUCGAAAAAGGCCAUCGCGAAGUCAUGACAUGCAGAGGUGAGGGAGGUAAAUUAAUCUUGUCUCCAUAGAUUUUGCACUUAUGACAUCUUUUGGCGUAGUUAAUAUAGUCUCCUUCCAUGGUGGACCAAUAAUAACCGAACCUCAUAAUUUGCCUAGCCAUUGUAAAACCAUUAGCAUGUGUCCCACAGACGCCCUCAUGGACUUCUUCCAAGAUUUUCUUAGCCUCAAUGGCGUCUACACAUCUUAAUAGUACCUGAUCCUUCCUUCUUUUGUACAGGAUCUCCCCAUCUAAGACAUAGUCACUGACCAGUCUUCUCAACAUUCUUUUGUCGUUCUUAGUAGCUUGGUCGGGGUACUCGCGAUUCUUCACAUAUCGUAGGAUAUCGUGGUACCAAGGGCGAUCAUCAUUUUCCUCUUCUUCUUUGAGGUUGUAACAAUGAGCCGGGGCCUCGUAAAUGCUCAUUUGGAUUGGUUUCACAUCCUCUGGUUGGUUCACCUUAAUCAUAGAAGCUAAAGUUGCUAGGGCAUCAGCCAUCUGAUUUUCUUCUCGUGGGAGGUAGUAGAAGAUAAUAUCAUCAAACUCUUUAAUUAACUCAAGGAUCAACCUCCGAUAAUUGAUCAAUUUGAGGUCUCUUGUCUCCCAUUCACCUUUGAGUUGAUAAAUCACUAGGGCAGAAUCUCCAUAUACCUCUAACACCUUGAUUUUACAUUCUAUGGCCGCACGUAUUCCCAUGAUGCAUGCUUCGUAUUCUGCCAUAUUGUUCGUGCAGUCAAAAUUCAAUUUACUAGUGAAUGGAUAAUGAUCUCCGUUCGAGGACACCAAAAUUGCCCUGAUUCCGUUACCCAUGGCAUUUGAUGCUCCGUCAAAGUUUAGCUUCCAAAGGUGACCUUGAGGGUCUUCUUCAGUGGUUGCUAUGCACAUUAGAUCUUCAUUUGGGAAAUCAAAGUUCAGAGGCUCGUAGUCCUCUAGGGCUCUGCUGGCUAAGAAAUCUGCUAUCGCACUCUCUUUUACGGCCUUCUGGUUCACAUAGACUAUAUCGAAUUCAGAAAGUAGAAUUUACCAUCGGGCCAUUCUCCUGUUCAAGGCAGUCGACUCCAUCAAGUACUUUAGAGGAUCCAUUUUAGAGAUCAGCCAAGUUGUAUGGUACAACAUGUAUUGUCUCAGUCUUCGGGUUGUCCAAAUCAAGGCACAGCACAACUUUUCAAUGAACGAGUAUCUCGUCUCACACUCAGUAAACUUUUUUACUAAGGUAAUAUAUCGCUCUUUCUUUCCUUCCCGAUUCAUCGUGUUGGCCAAGCACGCAUCCCAUAGAAUUUUCAAAUACCGUCAAAUACAGUAUCAGUGGCUUAUCUGGAUUAGGUGGUGUCAACACUGGGGCAUUAGACAAAUAUUGCUUAACUUUUUCGAAGGUCUUCUGGCAUUCCUCGUCCCAACCACCAGGGUUGUGUUUCUUAAGGAGAUGGAAUAUAGGGUCACAUUUCUCGGUUAGUUGUGAAAUAAACCAAGCGAUGUAAUUUAGUCUUCCUAGGAAUCCUCGAACUUCCUUCUGAGUGCGUGGUGGAGGUAACUCUUGUAUGGCUUUGACUUUGUCUGGGUCAAUCUCAAUCCCUUUUCCACUGACCACGAUUCCUAGCAGUUUUCCUGACCUGACUCCGAAGGUACAUUUUACGGGAUUGAGUUUCAACUGGAAUUUUCUCAACCUCAAAAAUAAUUUCCUCAAGACUUGCACAUGCUCUUCUUCUGUCCGAGAUUUGGCGAUCAUGUCGUCGACAUAGACUUCAAUUUCUUUAUGCAUCAUAUCAUGAAAUAGGGUUACCAUGGCUCUCUAAUAUGUUGCUCCUGCAUUUUUCAAUCCGAAUGGCAUUACUUUAUAGCAAAAGGUUCCCCACAUGGUCACAAAUGUGGUUUUAUUCAUUUCUUCAAGAUGCAUCUUGAUCUGAUUGUACCCCGAGAAACCAUCCAUGAAGGAGAAGAGUGAGUAACCUGCCGUGUUGUCCACUAAGGUGUCGAUAUGAGGCAACGAGAAAUUAUCUUUCGGGCUGGCCUUGUUUAAGUCUCUGUAGUCUACACACAUCCGUACCUUUCCAUCUUUUUUAGGGACGGGGACGAUGUUGGCUACCCAUUCCGAGUACUUAACUACUUGUAAGAAACCAGCAUCAAAUUGCUUCUUGACUCCUCUUUUAUCUUCAACAGAACAUCGGGCCGCAUCCUUCGAAGCUUUGCUGAACUGGCUUGCAUUCUUCUUUGAUGGGGAGUCUGUGUACCACAAUGUCAGUACUUAGCCCAGGCAUAUCUUGAUAUGACCAUGCAAAGACAUCUUUAAACUCUUGGAGUAACUCAAUAAGGUCCCGCUUUGUCUCUGUGGUGAUGCAAGCUCCGAUCUUUACUUCUCUCCUUUCUAGUUCAUCUCCCAAGUUUACGACUUCUACGGUCUCUUUGUGGGGUAGAAUCUAUUUCUCCUCGUGUUCUACCAUUCUUAACAAAUCAGGGGAUAAGUUACAGUCUCCAUCAUCCUCAAAGUCUUGGGAUCCCUCCAGACACAUAUCUCGCUCAAAAGGAGAUUCUGAAUUAGUAGCAACGUCACUCGCAUCAUUGAUAUCUGGAGACCUGUUGUAGGUGUGAAGGAAGAUGCAAAGAACAAGAGAAUCUAAGAACAAUGAUAUGUUUGGUAUGAUCAUGAAUGAAAGAAUAAAAGAAUAUUUGUACGGAAUAAGUCAAAAGGAUGCAUUUCAUUGAAAUAACGAUUUCGAACAUAAGCCUAUUUCACAAAAUGACACUUGUUACUCCUAGGCCUAGAGCAAUAAGUGUGUUUUGGACAUUACUCUGAGUUAGUUCUAAAGACUACAGGAAUCUCUUCUGCAGUCCAAUUAUUCAGAACACUUCCCGGCUCAUAGGGGCGAAUGCUUGACAAAUUCUCUACCCCCGUCCCUUCUUCAUAUGUGGCGUUGAUGUCCAAACUCUCCAUCAUUCCUUCCAAGAUUUCCUUUCCCGACGUCUUCCGCUCGGAGUGAAUGACCCCUCCAGACACAAAAGUGUUCGAUAUAUGGGGGAAGAUCAUUGGUUCCCAUUCGAUUUCUCCUCCGCUCAAUCGCACUCUCCUUCUUUCUUGCUUCUUCUCAAGUUCUUUCUUUCUUUGUUUCAUGUCCGGCUUAAACCCUAACCCAAAACGGUCUUGUUUGUCCUUCAUCCUUGGUACAUUAAUCCUUCCUUAAAGGUAUCUCCCGAGUCCUUCCGGGUAGAGCCCCCUUUCCAACAGUUAACCGUAGUCCCAUUCUUGUAGUCUCAGAUAACCUAGGCAUUGGAAUCUUAUUUCCUUCAAUGAUGAACGUCGCGUUCACAAACUCCAAAGAUCGAAAAGAGCACUCGAUCGCUUCAUCAUUUGUCUCCAAAUAUGGGGCAUCACUGGUUAUUGCAGCGAUGAUGUCCUCUUCAGCAUUGAUUGUUACUAACCGACCUUCGGUCACUAAUUUCAACUUUUGAUGCAGCGAUGAAGGGACUGCCCCCGCUGAGUGUAUCCAUGGCCUCCCCAAUAGGCAAUUGUACGAAGGCUUAAUGUCCAUGACCAAGAGAUCUACCUCGUAUGUGCUCGGCCCGAUUAAGAGGGGUACUUCAAUUCUCCCCAUUACCCUCCUUUUCGUGCCAUCAAAUGCUCUCACUACACUUUGGCAUGUCUUCAUAUGGGAACUAUCCACUGGCAACCUACUCAGCGUAGAUAGGGGUAGGACAUUCAGUGCAGACCCAUUGUCAAUCAAUACCCCCGAUAAUGUGUACCCUUUACAGCGAGUCUUGAUAUGCAAAGCUUUAGUUGAUCCUCGGCCCCCUGGCGGUACCUGAUCGUCAUUGAAGAAUAUGAAGUUGUCGGCAUUUAUAUUGUUGACUAAGCGGUCUAGUUUGUUUACAGAGAUAUCGUUAGCAACAUAAGUUUCAUUCAGCACCUUCAUCAAUGCGCUGCGAUGAGUUUCGAAACUUAAAAGUAAGGCCAGUACCGAUAUACGCGCUGGCUGUUUGUGCAACUAUUCUACGACACUAUAUUCGCUGUGCUUUAGGAAUUUUAAGAAUUCCUUGGCUUCUUUUUCAGUCACUGAUUCAUUAACAGUUGGUUCAUGCCCCGCCGGCUUCUCUUUCUUUUGCUCAAUUGCUAAUGAUUUUUCUUUAACCUGCUCGACUUUUGUAUUUGGGGUAUAACGCCUUCCGCUGCACGUAUAAAAACCUUCAUCUUGAACUUCCUCUGAUGCAUUAAUAGGGGUCUCCUCUCCCAGGAAUGUCACAUUGCAGCUAUAGUUCCACGGUACCAUUUUGCUAUCUUUAUAAGGAAAAGCAACGGGCUUUUGGAUCACGACCUUUGGCGCAACUCGUGCCCCAGCUUCAUUCAUUCUCGGACGUGAUAUGAUAACCACUGGGUGGUUGACUUUGUGAACAUCCUUCAUCGACCCCUCUUCGGAGGCACACACAUCUGUUUCUCCUAGGCUGCCGACAUAUUUGAAGAAUUCCAGCUCCUUAUUAUCCAUCAAUCCUUGUAUUAAAGCCCUGAAUUGGCUGUAUUUUUUGAUCUCAUGAUCCACUUGAUUGUGGAACUCACAAUAAUUCUUCGCUUCUCAAGGCCUGACCCUCAAAUUCUGUGCUAUCAAACCUCUUUCUACCAUUUUCUUUCAUACUUCUUUCAACGGGGUAUUCACUUCUGCAAUAUUCAUCUUAAUUUCUUUCCCCGAACUCUCAAUUAUCGCAUUUAUUCCCUUAUCCCCAUGGUUAGGUAAUGGAUUCUCUGCACUGGAUGUAUCAUCAAAUUUCACAAUCCCCAUGUUGAUGAGUCUCUCAACCAAUUUUUUUAAAGUGGUACAGUUUUCUAUCGAGUGUCCUGUGGCUCCCGCAUGGUAUUCGCAUUGGGCAUUUGCGUCAUACCAUUUGGGGUAUGGAGGUUGCAUUGGCUUUAGAUAGAAGGGAGACACGACAUGUGUAUCAAAUAAACUCUGGUAUAACUCCUUGUACGUCAUUGGAAUGGGCGUAAUUGAAGUUUCUCCCUAUUUUGUUUUGUGUUGGGCUCUUGUCUGGGUGGGCCCUGCUGUCCAGUAGUUGUCGACCUUGGUUGGCUUAGGUGAUCGAUUUCGAAUAUGAGCUCACAUUAUUCACCUCGUGCUCUUUCUUUCUCGGCGCUGACCUCUUAGCAUUUUUUCCAGCCUCUAUUUUCCCACUUCUUAUGGCAUUUUCUAUCAUUUCUCCAGACAUUACUAUGUCCGAAAAACUCUUGGUUGCGCUACCCAGCAUAUGGUUAAUAAAAGGUGCCUUCAGGGUAUUGAUGAAGAGCAUAGUGGUUUCCUUUUCCAACAGAGGGGGUUGGACCUGUGUGGCCACUUCUCUCCAUCACUGGGCGUAGUGCCUAAAGCUCUCAUUAUGCUUCUUCUCCAUAUUCUGUAAAGUGAUUCUAUCAGGGGCUAUGUCUGCCACAUGACCGUACUGCUUCAUGAAGGCUUGUGCUAAAUCUUUCCAUGAACUGAUCUGGGUGCGACUCAGCUGGUUGUACCAUCUAGAAGCGGCCCCAACCAGACUUUCUUGGAAGCAGUGAAUUAAUAGCUGGUCAUUGUUGACAUGGCCCGCCAUUCGUCUGCAGAACAUAGUGAUGUGAGCUUCGGGACAGCUAGUCCCGUUGUAUUUCUCAAAUUCCGGAGUUUUGAACUUGGGUUUUGAACUAGAUAAAUUAGCUAAGUUAUACAUUUUCGAUAUUGUGAGAUUGCACGGGGUGCCUUUGUUUAUUUUGUCAGAUAGAGAUACAAGAUUCACUUCGUGGUUUUAGAAUAAAUUACAAGAGACUUUGGGUACAAAAUUACACUUCAGUACUGCUUUUCACCUGCAGACGAAUGGUUAAUCUAAGCAAAUUAUUCAGAUUCUCGAGGAUAUGUUGAGAUGUUGCAUUCUUGAGUUUGAUGGUACUUGGGAACAGUAUUUUUCAUUGAUUGAAUUUACUUAUAAUAAUAGUUUUCAAUCGAGCAUUAAAAUGGCACCGUACGAAGCCUUAUAUGGUAGAAAAUAUCGUACACCAUUGUAUUAGUUAGAUCUUAGUGAAAAUAAGAUAUACAGGAUCGACUUGAUUAAAAAGACUGAACAAAAAGUAAAAAAAAUCUGAGAAAGUCUGAAAGUAGCUUCUGAUCAUCAGAAAUCAAAUGUAGAUUUGAAACGAAAAGAUAUUGAAUUUAAGAUCGGCGAAAAAGUGUUUCUAAAAGUAUCCCCGUGUAAGAAAACACUCCGAUUCAACAAAAUAGGCAAAUUGAGUCUGAGGUUCAUUGGACCGUUUGAGAUUAUUGAGCGGACCGGACCAGAUGCAUAAAGAUUUCUAUUGCCACCUGAGCUAGAAAAUAUCAACAAUGUAUUUCAUGUAUCGAUGCUUUGACGAUAAAGAUCUAAUCCUUCACAUGCAAUUACUCCAUCCGAAAUAGAAAUUCAGUCCGAUAUGACAUAUGAAGAAGAAUCGAUCUGUAUCUUAGCUCACGAGAUUAAAGAAUUGAGAAAUAAGAAAAUUUCAUUAGUAAAAGUAAUGUGGAAUUGGCACGGUGUUGAAGAAGCUACGUGGGAGCCCGAAGAUGUUAUGAGACGGCAAUAUCUUACACUAUUCAAUGGUAAGAUUUUCGAGGAUGAAAAUCCCUAAGGGCGGAGAGUUGUAACAUCCCGGUUUAGACCCUAGUUGGAAUACUAGUUUCGGGACCACAAAUUUGAGUUAGAAAAAUAUUUUUAAUAUUAUUUUAUAUGCUUAUAAUAUGUGAAUUGAUAUCUGUAAAAGUUUCGUGUGAAAUUUUGUUCGUUUGUGUGCUUAAUUUAGAAAAAGGACCUCACCGCAUAAAAAUUAAAAGUGGCUAGCUAUUUGUUGAAAGUACUUAAGUGCUAUGUCUUGUUAAAGGAGACGUCCUGAUGAUGUUAUUAGACCAUAACUAAGGUUAAUGGACAUUAAUGACCAUCCAUUAAAUGUUUUAAAUGGUUAUAAAUAAGGUUAAUAUGGUAAUUAGCAUAUUAUGUUAAUAUAAUUAAAACAAAACAUUAAAUGGGCCAAUAUGUUCAUCAUUUAGCCGAAAUUGAAGAAAGAAAAAUAGGGUUCCAAGCCUUCAAACAUUCGGCACUUAUUUUGGCUAAUUAGGUAUAUGUUUUUUAUCCAUUUUUGAUAAUUUCUACAUUUUUGUGAUCGUUGCUUUGUGUUUUAUCAAGCCCAUGCCUCAAUUUUUGAAUUUGAUUAUGAUUUUAAGAUGUGCCACUGUUGAUAAAGUGAGUUUUAUGAAGUUUGAUGAUAGAAAAUGAAAGAUAUGUGUUAGAUUACUAUGUUUUGUAUUGGGAUUUUUGAUGAAUUUGAGAAUUUUGGACUAAAUUUUGAAAAUGUGAAAUUGAGGGGUUAAAAUGUGAAAUAAAUGAAAUAAUUGGGCUUAUAUGAACGAAAGGAGAAUUCGGCUAGGCAUGUGUGAAAUGAAAUUAUGCAUAUUAGGUGAUGUUAUGAAAUAGGGACUAAAAUGUUAAAAUGUGAAAAUGUGAAAAUGUGAUGGCUAAUUUAUAAAAUGCCCUAAAUAUGUGCUUAUGGAUUGAUUUGAAUAAAUAUGAGAUUGAAUAAGUCAAAUUUGAAUGUGUUUAGAUCAAGAUCCAAAGAAAACGAAAUUAGAUCGAGGAAAGUCGAAAGUCGUUGAAUAGUCCUUCAUUUCCGUACGAGUGAAGUCUAUAUACAAAUAAAUGUGUUUGAAUUGAUUUAUUAAUGUUUAUAUGAUAUUGAAUUGUGAUGAAUGGUUAUAGAAGUUGAAUAUGUGAAAUUGAGAAAGUUUCGAUAACAUAACGAAGUCCGAAAGCCUCGUACGAACCAUAGGAAUAUUUAGGAUACAUAUGUCAUGACAUAAGAUUUUCGAUAUGUGAUUUCGUGUAAGACUACGUCUGGGACGUUGGCAUCGAUUUGAGAUUUAUGUGUAAGACCAUGUUUGGGACAUCGGCAUCGUAUUUGAUUUCGAGUAAGACCCUAUCUGGGAUAGUGGCAUCGAUAUCUGAUUACAUGUAAGACCACGUCUAGGACGUUGGCAUUAUACGAGCUUUCCGCGUAUCCUAUUUAAUUUGUACAGUUCAACGGGCAUUCUGGGAAAUACAUGAUUGCAUGAAUGAAUAACCGAUUCAGGUAUGUAGAGAUGUGUUCAACAUUUCUUAAUGAGAAGUAAGUAUAUGUGCAAGAGAUGAUAUGUGAUAUAAGUAUGAGAAAUUAUGCUAUAUGUGCAAUGAAUUGGAAAUAUGUGAGAUGUAUAUGAACUAUGUGUUUUGUGAUAGUAUUUGGUUAUGGAGUAUAUGUAUUUUAUGAUGCUUACAUGCUUAAAAUGAUAAGUUGAUUUGUAUAUGGCUUACUAAGCUUUUAAAAGCUUACUCUAUGUGUGUUUGCAUUGUGUUUUAGAUAUCGAAGGUACUAAAGGCUCGGGGAUCGUCAAGGAUCAUCACCACACUAUCGAACUCUACUUUGGUACCUUUUGAAAGUGUAAAUAUUUAAGUAUGGCAUGUAUAGUCUAGUUAAGUUGAGAUAUGUUUUUGAGUUAUGAAUAUUUAGCCAUGUAAUAAGGCUUGGUUUUGGUUGUGUUUAUGAAUGAAUUUUGAGUAUAAACUAUGUGAUGCAAUAUUUCCAAUAUGAUGUGUUCAUGGGUGGCCAAAAAGAAUUGGUCAAUUUGGUAAGAUUUUGGUAUGUGCUUAUUUGAGGAAUUGGUAAGAUUAUGGCAUGAGAAUGAAUGAAGUAAAUUGAGGUUAUGAAACAUAUGUUUUGGUAUGACUUUGGCUUAUGAUUUGGCAUGAUUUGAUAUGGAUUAUAAGCAUGAAUUAGGUUGAUAAUAAUAUGACAUGAAUGAUGUAUGUUUUAGGAAGGAAAUUGGUUGAAAUUAUGGUGCAAUUGAUGCUUGUAGGGAGGACCCAAAAUGGGUGGCAUAUUGGCCUUAUAAAUGGUCUAUUUUUGCCCACACGGGUAGGGACACAGGCGUGUGUCUCUGCCGUGUUGCUUGAAGGCCAUUUUGAAAUGAGCCUGGGUAGACCACAUGGUCGUACACACGUACGUGUGCCAAGCCGUGUGGCUAAGUCAGUUUCGAGCACAGGCUAGACACACGGGCGUGUGACUGGCUGUGUAACCCAAGUCAGUAGUCUCCCUAAUUUUCACAUGGCCUAGCACACGGGCGUGUAUUGUGGCCUUGUGGACAAGUUAUAUUUCGCCACGACCUAGACACACGGGCACACGGCCUGUUCACACAGGCAUGUGACCUUUGUAACUUAGAAAAAUUGUUAAAUUUCAGAAAAAAAUUUGUAUGUAUUCGAUUUAGUCUCGACCUUUUUCUAAUGCAUGUUUAAGGUUUUCUUGACCUAAGAAAGGGACCUUAUGUUGAUAUUUGACUUUCAUAUGAUAAUGUAUGAUUUUUAAUUGUGAAAUGAUUACGAAAUAUUUUGAUAUGUCCGGUAAUGCCUCUUAACCCUAGUCUGACUAUGGAUACAGGUUAAGGGUGUUACAUGUGUAACUCACUGACUUGGGUCACAUGGCCAAGCCACACGCCUGUGUGCCAGGCCGUGUACCCCUUAAAAUGACCUCAUGUGCCCAUGUACCAGGCUGUGUGUUAGGCCGUGUAACUGUCUGAAUUGAAUGCUUUGAACCUACAAGGGACACACAGUCAUGUUGCUUGGUUGUGUGUGACCAUGUGUCACACACGGCUGAAACACACGCCCAUGUCUCGGGCCAUGUAACCUUAAAAUGAAUCUUAAAACACAAGUUUACCAUUUCAAGUUUGCUUGUACCUUAAAAAACUCAAAUACCAACCAAAAUACUAAUUCAAAAUGACAUUAAUCGAGCCAAAAACACAUCAAACCAACUAAUAAGUGCCUAACCAAUGUACCCUCAUUAGUACCACAAUUAUAUACAAUUUAAUGUCCAAACAUAUCAAUUCAACCUAUCAAUUCAAUCAAGCUAUUGUCUAUCAAUACCAUCUCAAACAUACCAUAUCUUACUACAUAAUAACCCAUUCAUCACGUACUCUUUUAACUAUUCCAACAAAUAUCAUUUAGCCUUGCUAACACAUAUUAAUAAAGCACCAAAAGUACCAAAAAGGAGAUCAACCAAAACAAUUUAUACAACUAAGUUAAUAAUUAACUAUUUACAUAUCCAAAACAUUAGUAACAUCAUUCAAAUGUACUACAUGCCAUAUAAUUUGAAAUAAACGUUCCAAAAACUACCAAAUUUAGCUGGAUAAUGUGACUUGAUACUGAUCCAAUCAUCCAACCUUCUGAGUAUCUACAAGAACAAAGUUUAACAUGAAUAAGCUCAAUAAAGCUUAGUAAGUUCGACAUAUUAGGAUGAUAAAUCUUACCGAAGUAAAUACAACAAAUCAAACAUUAACAGUUCAACCACGAAAGUUCCCUGCCAUCCACAAUCUCAUCCGAUGAAUCACUAUCAAUUAAAUUCUCAAUUGUAUAGUAAACCCAUUAAAAUCAUUACACAAAUUACCUUACCGAGAUUUUCAACUCGAAGAACGGCUUACGAAUAUAAGUACAUCGUCAUCCACACAAAACACACCAGAAACUCACACGAGCCAAUCCCUCCAGCACACCAAUGCUCAGAAGAACUAAUCCAACCAUCACACUAGUGAUCUUAAGAGUUAAUCCAACCAUAACACCAGUGCUUAUAAGAGCUAGUCCAACCAACACACCAAACAAAGAGUAUAACACAAGAGUUCACAACAAAUACUGAACCUCAGGCUACUCGGGAAACAUGAAUGUACGCCACUCCAUAACCAUCUACACUCCAAUCCCCCUUAACACACCAAAUCUUGACCGUACUCUAUCCCGCGUUCAAGCCGAAUCGAACAUCAAUUUCAAUUACACUACUCAAAUAAUCAUUGAAUUUCAACAAAUACAUUUACCUAUUAUGUCAUGAUAUAUAUAAUUUAACAAUUCAUAUAGAUAUUAAAUUUUUGAACCGUACGAACUUACCUAGAUUGAAUUGUAGUCGUUGUAGAAGUUUAGGGACUAUUCUGCUAUUUUUCCUUUUCCACGAGUAUCUACGGGAUUUUGAUAUAAAAUGUAAAAUUCUUCAUUUAUUAGUAUAUAUUUCAUUUCCAAACCAUUUUACAAUUAAUACCCUUUUAUUUUUUCAAAAGUACAUAAUUACCCUGAAUUUUUACUAUUUUUGCAAUUUAGUCUCUAACUCGAAAUUCAUCAAAUUUACUAAUUUUCUCAAGUCAAUAUUUUAUCCAAAUAUACUAGGCCCUUAAACAGUCCAUCUAAAUUCACUAUUAAACCCUAAAAUUUUCACAUUUUCGCAAUUUAAUCUUGAAAUCAAAAUCUAACAAAAAUCACUUUACAAAUUCAUCAAAUAGCAUAAUCAAAGCUCCAAAUACAUGGUAUUCAUCAAGAACAUUCAAUAUUCAUCAAUGGAAACUUCCAAAUUUUUUAACAAAAUAAAAAACGAUGGUACAGGCUAGCUGGACCUAGUUGCAACGAUCUCAAAAACAUAAAAAUUACAAGAAACGGGAUUAGAACGUACUCACAUGCAAACUUCCUAUGCUAGCCGAAACUUCUCCUCACCCUAAUUAUGGAUUUCAACCAUUGAAGAAGAAAAUGAAUAGGAAAACUUUAAAUUUUCAAUUUAUUUUGUUUUAAUAUCAACUAAUUUACAAGUUUCCUAUUAUAAUUUCAUUAUUUUGUCAUUUUCCAUCAAUUUGUUUCCCACUAUAUUAUUUAGGGCUUAAUUAUCACUUAAGUCCUUCCUCAACUAUUAAUUAAACAUUUCAUCACCUAAUUGCUUUAAUUAGCAAGUUUUGCACCUUUUACAAUUUAGUCAUUUUUCUGUAAUUAACUAACUAAACAUUAAUAUUUCUUAAUCAAAUCUUAAUAUGACUCUAAUGACUCUAUAAAUAUUCUAAAAAUAAUAUUUAUGAGUUGAUAUGAUGAAAAUUUGUGGCCCGAAACCACUGUUCCAUCACCACUGAAAAUUGAGCUGUUACACUUAUUAUAUUAUUAUUUUAUUAUUCCAAACUUUUAGUAAUUAUUAAGUAGUUUAAGUUAUUUAGGAGUCUUAUGUUAAUAAGAAAUUUUAGUUUAAAACUACUUAUUUAGAUUAAUUUAUAUUUAAGAGUUUUAUUUAGAUUUAUUUAGCUAGCCUUGCAUUGUACACAAAUCAGACUAUUAAUUAUUAUUCAACUUCUCUUUUGAGUUAAUAAAUUCUUUUUGAGUUUUUCUUUCAAGGGUUUCUCUUGAGUUUUCUUUUAGAAGAGUUUUAAUAAUCUUUUCAAAUUGUGGGGAUUAUUUUCAAACUUCUUCUUACCAAGUUGUCUUUAUUGGAGGGAAAAUUAGAGCUGCUUGAAGGGAGUUGUGGAUUUUUUUGUGUUCCCAAGGCUUCUUAGGACUUCUAGACACUACAUUCUAUCUUUUUUAUCUACCUUCUUUAUUGUCCAAUAUUUAAUUUUAUUAUUUUAUUUUAUUCAUCUAAGUUAUUUAUUUUAAUUAUUUUAUCUAACUUGGAUUCGAUCGUGUUUCAGAUGGUGUCAAAAUUCAAGUUUCUUUCUAAACAUCUAGAGCCCUAAGUCAAAUUCGUGACUUGAACAAACUUUACGAUCUACUUCCGCAUUCAUCCACACUCAUUUUUAUUAUUUGGAAUUAGAGCAGAUACCAAAUUAGAUAAACACAUGAUCUGCUUUGAUACCAAAUGAUACGGAUAAGAGUGGAUGAAUGUGGAAGCAAAUCGUAAAGUUUGCCAAAGUCACGAAUUUGACUUAAGGUUCUAGAUGUUCAAAAAGAAACUUGGAUUCUACCACAACCUGAAAUGCAAACGAAAUCCAAGUCAGAUAAAAAUAAAGAAAAAAAAGUAAAAAUAAAUAACUAAGAUGAAUAAAAUAGUAUAAUGAAAUCUAAUAUUAGAAUUAAUAAAGAAGAAAAAUAAAGAAGAUAGAUGGAAAGAUAGAAUAUGGUAUGUAGAAGUCCUAAGAAGCCUUGAAAACACGAAGCAUCCACAAAUCCCUUCAAGCGACUCUAAUUUCCCCUCCAAGAAAGAAAAUUUAGUAAGAAAAGUUUGAAGAUGAUCCCUACAAUCUGAAAAGAUUGUUAAAACUCUUCUAAAAGAAAACUCGAGAGAAAUUCUUGAAAGAAAAACUCAAAGAGAAUUUAUUAACUCAAAAAAGAAGUUAAUAAUAAUCAAUUGUCUUAUUUAUGUACAAUACAAAGGCCUAUAUUUAGGCUAGGUAAAUAAAUCUAAAUAAAACUCUUAUACUAAAACUCUAAUUAAUCUAAAUAAGAAGUAGUUUUAAACUAAACUUUCUUAUUGGCAUAAAACUCCUAAAUAACUUAAACUACUUAAUAAUUAUUAAAAGUUCAGAAUAAUAAAAUAAUAAGAGAUGAUAAAUACAAUAUUGGGCUCAUAUAUAAUAAAAAUUAAACCCAAAGCUCGAACCCAAUAUUAUUCAAACUCAAAUUAAAAGCCCAAAACUCGUAAUUUCUAUCAUAAUCUCAUCCAGAAAUUCUGCUCACAUAAUCUUCAGUAAAAUAGUCAUAACUUGAUCUUCCAAACUCGAAAUCAAGUGAUUCAAAGUGCAUUUCGAAGCUAAGAGAUAGAUAUUCAAACACCAUGCAUACAUCUCAACCUAGAAAUGUCUAGAUCCUAUCCAAAAAGACGUCGCAAGUCUAUUGAUUUCCUAAACUUGAAAAUUGGUAGCUUCGGCUAAUGGAAUUUAAUAAAUUUCACCCCAUUCAUGCAUGUAUCAAUUAAGAUUAAUUAUGAGUUUGAUGUUGAUUAUGACUAAUGGUAUCAAAUCCGACAAUCUAGUUUACUACCUAGCAACCAAGCUUUGUAAUUGUCAGUGUUGAUGAAACAUAGUGAAAUUCAUUAUUGAAGAGAAAAAAAAAUGGAAUAUAAGCAUUCAAUAUACCUCAAUUAAGCCAUAAUACCUGUGGGUUAGUUGAAGAAUUGUGAGAUGACUCCAUGAAAUAAUAAAACAAAGCUCAGCCAGCCUCUGGAUCAACAAUCACAUAACCUGAAUACUUAUCAAAAUCCACCCAUUCUUGCCAAACUUCCAACAUUAUCAACAUCUUUCAGGCCUUGUUGAGAGCCUAUAUAAAUAGGCAAUUCCCCUGCCAAGUUGAUGCCUCAGAUAAUUCUUGCCUUAAGAUUCAAAAGGAUUCAAGUCUCUACCUUGGUAGCCCUGAGUGAGUCCCACCAGACACUAGAGACACCCAAAAUGAUUCCCAUAGUUUUUCCUAUUGUUAGCUCACUUGACUCACUUUGAAUAAUCGGGGUCCCGAUAAUCGUGUUUAAUUUCAAGGUGAUGGGAAAUUUGUUCAAUCAUAAUUGACUUUAAAUUCUAAACACUGCUAGAAGAUUGCUUUAUUAUGAGAUUAUAUAUUGUUUUGUCUUUGACUUUUAAUCAUAUUAAAGUGUUGUUUAAUGGAAUUUUGGCAUCAUUGUACUGUACAGGGUGAUGUGCAUCACUCAAAUUCAAGCUGAGUCCAACUGUGGUACACUUUAAUCAAAGGCAGAAGGUAGUUUAUAAAUAUAGAGCUUUCAAACUAGCAUCAUCCUAAAAUUUUAAUAAAUUAUAAAAAAGAUUUACUUUCUUGAUUAUGUACGUAAAUGACUUGAAAUGAAUAGUAAAAGUUGGUGGAGCCAAAGAGAUUGGCGCCACUAACAUGCAACAUUAGUAAUUUUGAUUAAAAACUUAUUUUUUUUGUGAAACCAUAGAGAAUGGUGUCACCUAUAUAAAUAACAAGGAAAUACUAGUAUUUCUCAAUAAUUGAGGGGCCAAAAAAUAAAUAAUGGUGAAUGGAGCCACCACUUUAUGUCAUGUUAUUAUUUUUUUAGUUUUUUUAAUUUCUUUUCGUUUUUUUUUAAUUUAAAAAAUAUUAUUUUAUUUGGUGGAGUCAUUCUAAAUGGCACCACCAGUGUAAUCUAUCAUUGUUUUUCUUUUUUCUUUUUAAUUUUUUUAAAUUUAAAAUUAAAAGUGAUAUUUUAUUUGGUGUAAUUUAUCACCUUUUCACUUGGAUUCCCUUUUCCACUUUCGUUUUUUCUUUCUCAUUUUUUCACAAACUUUAUUUUUUGGUCCUAUAUUUCUUAAUUUCUAUUAAAAAUGACCCUUAUCAAAUGAUUAAUUCACAUUACAUAAAUGAUUUACAUGAAAAUUAUUUUACAUUGAUAACAGUUCAAAUAAUUAUCAAUUUACAUAAAUAAAAAAUUUAUUUUACAAAAUAUAAUUUUACAUUUACAACAUUCCAAAAUAAUUUCACUUAACUUACGAUAUGUAAUUUUACAACACGAGCAACUUUCUCAAUAUUAAAAAAAAUUAAACGAUUUUGUUCAAGACCAACAACAUUGUGUCUUACAAAUUGAAAAAUACAAUGUUUAAUUGCAACACGAGUAAGUUUCUUGGUGUUAUUAUCUUGCAGCUUGCAUGUUGUUGAUAUUGAUGAUCUCACCUGUGUGGUUCGAUUUGGGAUUCCGUAAAACCUUCAAAUAUUUCGUUGACCUAAAGAAUCUUAGAUAAUCCACCUGUUGGCUGCAUAAUCAAUUUGAACUUGUUAUCGUCCUACCUCAACCAACGAAAUGACUUGCAUAACCAAUUUGAACUUGUUACUGAAUAUAUAACUGACAAUCAAAAAUAACCAUUAAACAUAAAAGCAUAAAAAAACACUCUUCAUCUCUCUCCCGUUCAUCCUUUAAUAUGAUAUAACUAAAAAAACUCUUCAACUAAGAUUUUUCUGCCAUUGGGCUUAUGUAUAGCUAUUUGACCACACCAAAGAAAAUGGCUCCACCAAAUAAAAUAUUAUUUUUUAUUUUUAAAAAAAUAUAUUAGAAAAAAGAAAAAUAGUGAUAGAUUACACUAGUGGCGCCAUUUAGAAUGGUUCCACCAAAUAAAAUAAUAUUUUUUUAAUUUAAAAAAAACCUAAAAAAACUGACAUAAAGUGGUGGCGUCAUUUAGAAUGACUCCACCAAAUAGAAUAACAUUUUUUAAAAUUUUAAAAAAAACAUAACAUAAAGUGGUGGGGCCAUUUGGAAUGGCUCCACCGCCAUUAAUUAUUUUUUGGACCCCCAAUUAUUGUGAAAUGCCAAUAUUUCCUUGGAAUUUAUAUAGUGGCGUCAUUCACUAUGGCUCCACCAAAAAAUUAAUUUUUUAAUCCCAUAACUAAUGUGGCAUGUUGGUGGCACCAAUCUCUUUGGCUCCACCAGCUUUUACUAUUCAUUUUAGGUUAUUUACGUACAUAAUCAAGAAAGUGAGUCAUUUUCAUAAUUUAUUAAAAAUUUAGGGUCAUUUUAAUUUUAAAAAAAAAACCCUAGCAUCCUCUCCUGCACUAAUUGUGAUAGAUAGGCUUUCAUAAUUUUUUUAUUUUUUUUUAGUUUAACCAAUAAAUUAGUACUUAAAUUAUACUAUUUUUCCCAUUUUAAUAUCUUUUUUUUUCUUUUGUCAAAAGUCGCUUCUAAACUAUAGUAUCAUGUUUUUCUGUGGUGUCAGAAAUGAUGGUUUCAAGACCACAAUUCUGAUAUGAGAGGUCAUUUUUUAUCAUUUACUUAAUAUUUAUGGAGUUAUAUUAGAGUCAUAUUAAAUUUUGGUGUAAUGCCCUGAAUAAUUUAUUUCUGUUUCUGUAAAUCUUAACAUAAAUGUGUAUCUGUUUCAAUGGUUAAGUGUUAUGGGUAUGUGUGUGAGGUCUUGGGUUCAAGUCUCACUUUUGGCAAAUUCUGUUAUUUUUUUUAUCCUAGCCUUAUCCCUGUUGGGUAGGCUUAUGUUAUAUUGUUUGUAAACUUAUAUUAGAAUGAGCCUGUUGGUUUAAGUGGUAAGGAGUUACCUUGCUGAAAGUCUUGUGUUUGAAUCCUCACAUAAGUGUGGGUGUUAGUUUUUUGGCAUCAACUGUUGAUAGUAGUUUGGUGGCAGUGGAAUUCUGAGUUGGUUGAGUUGUUAGUGGAUGUAAUGAGAUUUUGCUUAAAUCCUAUUUAAUUUUAUUUUUUCUCUCUUCCUAAAAGUCUGACGUUAGUUUUCUCUUUUCUCUGCCACAUUCUUCUUCCUCUUUGUUUUCCUGCAAUUUUGUCUAUAGUUUGUUGUCGUAUCAUUAUAUUUCAAAAUUUCAAUGUUCAUCGUGCGAUUCUAGUAAGUGGAGUUUCGUUUGACUGUAGGUUUCAGUUUUUGUAAACUAAUUGAGAUUAUUUUUUAUGUUGGAAUUUCAAUAAUGGGGUAAAGUAGGAGGAAAGUAAUUCUUUGAGAAAGUUUGGCAUAGGAAUAGACGGGGAACUUGUGGUUAGCACUCCAACGGCCUAAAUCGUGAGAGUAGUGGUUUUUAUCCGCGGUAAGUUCGUUUGUGCGAUUCAAUUUUUCGUUGUGGAUUUCACAAAUGGUCUAUUAAUCAGUCAUUGGAAUGUUUUUUUUAGGUUCUAGUGGUCUCGGGAGUGAUUUCGCAUCAAAAUCGAACUAGCUGUGUACUUAAAACACGAGAAAAUAAGGUUUGACGAAAGUAAAAAAUUGGGACUAUCGAUGUCACAUGGGCAUGUGGCUGGUCGUGUGUCUGACACACGGCCGUAUGAUUGUCGAGGGUGUGGUCAUGUGUGAGACACUACAAUGUGCUGUUGAAUGAGGGUGUGGCCCAAAAUUCUAAAAUUUUCCCUAGGGUCGCAUGAGUCGUUCCGAUCGACUGUGGGCCUACCGUAGGAUCUGUAAGGGCUAAUCAAACCUUUUUUCAUGUGACCUGAUAUUCUAAUAGUCUAAUCUGAGUAGGCUAAUCAAACCCUUUUUCAUGUGAUCUGAUAUUCUGAUAAUCUGAUCUGAGUAGGAAACUGAUAUGUAUAACUGACUGUACUAUGUAAAUAUGUAUGUUAUCUGUAUAUGAGCAUGUAAAGCAUGUUAAAUCUUUAUUUCUAUAUAUGUAUUAUGUAUCUGUGUUUGGAGUGGGAUUUGUAUAUGCAAAGAAAGUGAUCUGACAUUUUGCCUAUAUUCUGGUAGCUUGACUGUAUAUUAUCUGUUAUGUGUCGCUUCGAUACUAUAUGGUGUGUAGGGAUGGGUGGGUGUUUUUAACCCCACAUGGAAUGAUGGAAUGGACGGAGAUGGUGUGUAGAGGAUGGGGGUAGGAUUUUGUAUAUCUGUCUGCAUUAUCUAAUUCUAAAAUCUAUAUCUGCUAAGGACUUAGGUUUGUAUUUGUAUCUGUUCUGCAUAUAGGAAUACUGUGUGCAUUAGCAUGUCUAUCUCUAUUGGGUUGCACACUGAGUUUAUGAAAACACACAUCUGUUUGUCUAUUCUGUACAGGUAACCCUCGAACAUAGGCAGGUCGGUGCAACGGAGGCUUAAUGGUGACCACUGUUAAAAUUGCCUUUGAGUUUCUGUAUUUUUAAGAUUUUGGAGUUAUAUGAGAGUUUGUAAUUUUUUGGACUCUCUAGACUAUAUGGUUUUAACUGUUGGUUUUGGUUUUGGUUGUUUUUUAUCAUUCGUUGUUUGUUGAAACGAUUUACGAAAAUGAUGGUUUUACACAAACAUAGGUUUUUCUGGAAACAAGAACUGGGUUUCUGAAAUAUAAUAACUUUUAAGAUUUUCGCUACAAAUUAUGUUUUGGCGAAUGAAUAAACUCACGACAGUUUCGGUAAUAAACAAGUAAAUGAAUAUGUUUUCUAAAAUAUGGACACUUUAUAACAUGUAACUUUUUAAGGUUUUUGUCGAAAUAAAAGCAGUUUCAAACCCAUUCUUCGCAACACUCUCGGAUUCGGCCAUAAUGUCUAGGUUGGGUUUAGGGUGUUAUAUUUGGUGAAGAAAUUUUAAUAUUUAGUUGGUUAAUUUAAUAAAAUGACUAAAUUGUGAAGGACACAAAAUUUAAUAAUUAUUGAAUUGUAUUGACUUGAUAGCUUAAUUAACAAAAGAAAGAUGGCUUAGGAAGUAAUUAGUCCAAAGGGUAUCUAGAUGGAUAGUUAACGACCUUAUAAAUGUUAAAUUAUAAGUUUAUAAUAAGGCUAAAGUUGUAAUUUAAUAAAGAUAAACUAAAGGAUAAUAAAAAAAAUAAAACAUAUCAUCAUCUUCUCAAUAGGAUACCAUCAAAAAUUAAAAGAAAAUUUCACCAUUGAAGAAGUUUGUAGGGUUCAGUCAAAUAUUCCUUGCAUGUAAGUCCAUUUUGAGCUUAUUUCUUGUAACUUUUGUGUUUUUGAUAUCGUUGCAACUAGGUCCAGCUAACCCGUAGCUUUGUUUUUGAAACUGUUAAGAAUUUUGGAUUUCAUCGUUAAUGAAUUAUUGUUGUUCAUGAUGUUAAAUGAUGGAUUUGAAGUAUUGGUUGUUGACUAUAAUUAAUUUGUAAAAUAAUUUUGUUAGUUUUUGGUUAAAGGACUAAAUUGGUUGAAUUUUAAAAUUGAUAGGAAAUUUUUAAGUAUUUAGAAUAAUUGUAGGUUGUAAGUGGAUGGGUGAAAAUUCGGAUAGCAUGAGAAGUUGUAAAAUUUUAUUAAAUUUGGAAUUUCGAGUUUAGGGACUAAAUUGUGAAAGAUGUAAAAGUUUAAGGAAAAUGUGUAUAUAAUGAAAACUUGAGGGUCUCAUGCAUUGAGUUGAGUUUGAAAUGUAUGCGAAUUUAACAAAUUGAAUUUAAUUAUUAUAUAGAUCAAGAAUCUAGUCAAAAAGACAAUAACCGAGGAAAGGGGAAAAUUACAGAAUAGACCUUGUGUUUUAACCAGAAGUGGAUUGUAAGUAAGUUCAUAGUGUUUUGUUAUGUAAAUGUAAAUUUCUUGUGAUUAUGUCAUUGUUUUCUAGUUAGUUGUAUAUAUGUAUGUGAAAUUUCAUUAACUACCUAUAUAAUAUUGAAUAUUACAAAUAAAUACAUAUGAAAAUGAAUAAUUGAUGGUAGCAAUUCUUAUGAUUGCACAUUAUUGACAUGAAUAUAUUGGUUUAUAAUAUGUGUACGGAAAUGAUGAAGUGCCUCUGAAUAAUGAAUAUGUAUAAAAAUAACGAAUUUAUGUAUAAUGCCCGAUUGAACAUAAUAAAUGCUUAGGAUAUAAUUGGCAUGCCAAUAGGGUCAGUAAGUACGCUUGUACGGGAUUGCACUUCGAUGCCUCUGUAUACACUUUGGUGUCUCUGUUUGCACUACGGUGCCUCUGAUUGCACAUUUGUGCCUCUGUCUGCACUUUGGUGCCUCUGUUAUGCAACUAUGAUGCCUCUGGUGUGGUGUAGUUACCUGAGUAUCCGAGUCAAGUUACUUAGCUUAUCGGGCUAUGUAUUCAUUGAAUUACAACUUAUUUAUGUGCUUAAAUGAUAUUGCAUAUUCUUGGUGGUAGUAAGUGAAAAAAGUUUCAAUGAUUUUCAUGUUUACAUGCAUACAUAGCUAAAUUAAGGAAAUGUGGUUUAUGAUAAUGGUAAGUCUUUUAAGAAGGGGUUGUUAUAAUAUAUUUAGAUAUGUGAAUAAAUGUUAAUGUCGUGUAUGAAUUUGUAUUUUGUUAUCAGGAAUUAUGAGUUAUUUACUUGCAUAUCUACUUUGUUUAAGGUAAGUUAAUUAGUGUUUAAACUAUGAACUUACUAAACUUUUUUACCUUACUUGUUUGUUUGUGGUUCUUUUGUAGUUACCAAUUUGUGAACUAACCGGACAGAUCGAUUUAGAGCUCACACUAUUCAGCCAUCUUGGUAGUUUUCAUUUUGGGAUGUGGCAUGUAUAUUGGUGUUUUGUUGUAAAUAUGUAAAUUCCUAAGUUAUUUUGGUACACCUAGUAUUAUGUUUGGUUUUAGAGUGUACUAGUGUUGGCUAUAAUUAAGUUGAUCCUAUGUUAUGUAAAUAUUUGAUGGUGAUGUUUUGAAAUGGUUACUUGUUGAGUAUGUCAUGCCUUGUUCAUAUAGAUUGGUGAUUUUAGACAUGAAUGGUUAGUUAAUGAUCAGGUUUAUUCAUGGUUUUCAACCUUGUAAUUGAGUUGAAUUGGUGUGUGAUUUGUUGUGCCUUUGAAUGGCUUAUUGGUUAGGUAUUAUAGGUUAUUUGAAAUGGUACAUUUUAAGUAUAUUGUUAUGUGGUUUGGUCAUGUUAAGGCUUGUGGAAAUUGGGUGUUUUGAUGUGUAAAAAUUAGGCUUGUUUUAGGGGUGACAUAUGUUGCACAGAGCCUGGGACAAAGGUUGUCACACGGCCGUGUGUCAUUUUAAAGUUAGGUGUGGGAUCCACAUGACCUGGCGCACGGCCUAUGACAUGGCCAUGUGGCCCAAGUUAGUGUCUAACACGGUUUGAGACAUGACCGUAUGUCUCAAAAUAGUUUGUAACAUGGUCUGGCACACAACCUGCGACACAACCGUGUAACCCAACUUUGAAUACAUAGACGGUUUGGCACACGGCCUAUGACACAGUAGUGUGGCCCUAUUUCAAAUAUUCACAUGGGUAGACACAUGGGCUGGGACACAUUCAUGUCUCCUAACUUCAAAUGUUCACACGGUCUGGGCUAUGUCACACGACCAUGUGACUCUUGUUUUCCAAAUUUUCAAGUUUUUCUGAAAUUUUCUAAUUUGUUUCAAUUUGAUCCCAGAUUAUUCUCAAACUAUUUUAAGGGUCCCGUAAGUUCGAUUUAAGACCCAUUGGUGUAUUUUUGACAUGAUUAAUUUAAUUUUUAUAUGUUAGCAUUUUAUUUGUUAAAUUGUUUCUAUUAUGAAUUAAAUGUUCUGUUUUGCUCGAUAACACUCAAUAACCUUAAUUCGACAAUGGAAGCAGAAUACGUAUGUUACAUAAACUCCUUUUUUUCUCAAGUUGGUACCUCCAUUAGUAAAACUGCUAGUCAAGCCAUUAAGUUCAUGAGUCAAUCUAUUCAACCCCUAUCUUCAGACAAAUACUCUACUGAUUGAAUUGAUAUGUAUGCUGACAUUUUUUACUUCGACCUUCACAAUUGUUCAACCCUAUCUCUUGAUAACCCCUCAAAAGCACCCCUUAACUUAACAUAAGCAUGAGUUUGUGAGAGCCCACUUAUUAAUCAUCACUCUUGGUCUCAACUACUACGUCCUAUUUAAAGUGAUUGAAAACACAUUUCAUCGCCACCCUACAUAGACUUAUGGUCAAACCACUUACCCUUAACUCACGUAUGAGGGCAUGACACGUGGUGUCUUGGAAUUGUAGCCUUGACAAAAAAUGGGACUUCAACUCUCUCUCCUCUACUCUUUCUCUUCCACCAUCUUCAUCAUCAUCUAAAACUCGAUAUAAGUACCGUCUUUUUCCAGACACCCAUUACAGUAACUCUCGUCUUUACCCCAUGCGAAGUGAACUACCUAACAAUAUUGCCAUCUCCGUCUUGUCUAAACGCAAUAUAUAAUAUUUUCUUAUAUUCAUAGCUAUCUAAAAUUUUAAAAAUAUAUAAUUAAUCUAUUUUGUAUCAUUUACUAUUUUUUAUUCAUAAAUUAUUAAAUGUCGGCUUAUUGCAAAAUUAAAAACACAAACAAAAUCUAAAAAUUUAUUACUUAAUGAUUUAAUUGUGACAUACUUAUUUUAAUUAAAGUAAUGCACUUUAUUUUAAACAUUUUGUUCAUUUAAAAUUCGAUUAAAUUAAAAAAUUACAUAUUUAAAUAGAGAAAGUAUAUUAUUUUUUAUUUAAAUAAUUCAAUAAAAAUUAUAAAUCUAAAGCUUUAUUAAUUUUAACACAAAUCAAUGCAAUGUAAAAUCUAUUUUUAAAUAUUUAUUACUUUAUUCUUAAAUAAAAUAUUAAAUAUUAUAUAAUAGUUGAGUACGAUGAGGACUCUUGAUGAUAUUAAGUACUCUAAUAAUUAUAUUUUUUUUAAUGAACCAAUAAUUAUAAUUUUUAAUAUAAUAUUUUUAUUAAUUAGUCUGUAAAGGUAUUUUUUUAUAUAAUAUUACGGGUAACGAAUAGAGUAAUACGAUUUAAAUUUGUGCCAGACAAGUAUAUGAGGGUAUUUUGAAAAAGUAUAUAUAAAUAAAUAAAUUAGAAAAAUUAUUUGAUAUAUCGUAGCUUUUUAGACUUUACAAGCGAGUUAAGAGUUUGACAAAUGUAUUAUAGGGUGUAGUAAAAAUAUAAAAAAAUAAUUUCAUAAAUAAAUGUGAUAUUUGUUAUACCCUCAUCUCGAUUGAAGUGUAUAAAAUAUUUUACUGGUGAUGUAUCAAAUAAUUACUCAAAAAAUUAAAUAUUUUAGAAAGUUAUUUUAGACUAUCUGUUUUACUAUGGAGUUCAUAAGAUUAUAUAAAUAGUAGGGUCAGUCUACUAUUUUCCCCCAAAAUUCCACCAAAUUAUUAUUUUGGUACUUAAAUUUUUUUUCAUCAUUUUGUACUUAAAAUUUUCAAUAUGUUAUUAAUUUGCCCGAUUGUUAAUGGAAUUUAAAAAAGGGUGACAUGGCUUGCUGAGAGCACAUUACCUAAAUUUUAUUUUUCAAUAACAAUUUUAAAAAAAGAAAAAAAAUUCAGAAAAAUAACAAAAAAUAAGAAAAUUUUUCAAUUUUUUUAAAAUAAAAAAAUAUAUAAAAAAUCCAAGAUUUAAAAAAUAUUUUUUUUGAAUUAAUCAACUGGAUUAUAAGCGCAAACAUAAAAACAAAUGGAAGUCUUGCUGCUGAGUUAGGUUUUAGUCCAACAUCACAGGCCUAAAGAACAAUUAAAAGAAACAGGCCUACAUCAGAAAUGGCCCGAGAAUUGAAAUGAAAAAUAAUAAAACAAAACAGAAAAGGAAACCUAAUAUAUUUAAAAGCUCCAGUCGACAGUAACAACUGGCCUCCAUAAUUUCUAGCGCUUCACAUCACCGCCACAGCUGUUUCAUUAUAGCAAAUCUUAUGAAAUCUUUUACUUUCUGCUACAUUUUCAAAAAAGAGACGUUUCAUAUAUUUUAUUCUAAUAGUCUUAAGCAUUUUUUCUCCAUGUCUUUCAGUUUGAAAACUAAGACGUUUCUUCUCCUUUUUUUCAUGCUGAGAAACUAAGACGCUUCUUCUUCUUUUCUUUUAUGCUAAAAAUCGAAGGCGCUUCUUCUUCAUUUCACUCCGAACGAAAAUUGGGAUGCCUCCUUCCAGGUGAUGGCCUUCACCCUGUUUUAAUGCUUCUUUUGCAACAAAAUGGGCGCAUAUGUUUUCUAACUUUGGGAUAUAAUGAAAUCUAAGUUCUUGAAAAUGAUUAUUUAUGCUUUGAAUAUAUCGGGUGAUUGCUCUGAUAAUCGAUCUGUCGCAUUCUGUGUUUUGGCACUUUGUUGUUACCAUUCUUGAGUCACCCAAUAUAUCUAGAACAUUAAAACCCAUAGAAAUUCCUAAUCUUGUGGCUUGAUAUCCUGCAUGUGCCUCCGCCGUAAACGGAGAGGGGACACCGGAGUGAAGAACUUACUUGGAUGCCAAGACUUUUCCCCCCAUAUCUCUUACUAUCAGCCUCGACGUAGAUCUAGAAGACUGUUGGUUAAACGCCGUAUCAAAAUAAAUAGCCACAGUUGCUCUCUGGUCAUCUUGUUUAGGUCCCUUGUCUGCUUCCAAGGUUAGAAUUUUAUCCUCUAUUCCUUUUAACUCAGAGAUAUAACUGAGAAUUUGAUUAUAGAUAUCCCAGCUUGUUGUGUUUUUUCUUUUGUAGAUUAACUUGUUUCUGCUUGUCCAGAUUAUCCAAAGUCUGUAACAAAAGAGACAACACUGCUUGACGGUCCCUUGACUAAACACCCAGGUAAGCCAUUCCCUUAUAUUUUGAGCAUUACUGUUGAGUAUCAAUGAAAAAUUUAAAAACCUCCAUAUUUUUGUAACACCCCUUACCCGUGUUCGACGCUGGAAUAAGGUACGAGGCAUUACCGGACUUAGUCAUACACAAACAUGCAAAAACUGGGCUAUAAAAUUUCUUUUAGAUCAAAACUUUAAAUACAUAACGUCUCAUACAAGGGCCUACGAAGCCUUAAACAUGCAUUGAAAGUAGUUAAGGACUAAACCGAGAAUCUUAGAAAAUUUUGGGAAAGCUUAGAAAAAUUUUCCAUGACACAAAGUCACAUGUCCGUGUGGACACAGGGACACGCCCGUGUGCCCAGGACACGCCCGUAUCCUUAGGCCGUGUAACUCUCUAACAAUGACGUCAGCGAAUAAUCUGAACUAUACGGCCAAGCCACACGCCCGUCUGUUAAGGUCGUGUUCCCCCACACGGUUAAGACACACGGUCGUGUCUCAGCCUGUGUGGCCAACACUUAGGCUAUUUUCCAAGCCUUUAUGUUACUCUUAAUCCUUCACAUCUUUAUACCCACCAAGGACACAUGUCAUGAAAUCAUUUUAAUGAUUUAGCAUCCAUAUUAAGACACAUUCAUGACAUUAACAUGUUACCAUUCAUACAUUUCACAUACUCAUAUAAUAUCAAGUCGAGACACAACAAUACCUAUUCAUUAGCCUUGUCAUUUAAUGACCACUUUUACCAAAUUUUCAUAAUCGCCAUCUUAUUUCCAUAUCAAAAAUUUAAUUCAUGGCCAUGACCAUUUCAAUUGGUCAUAGAGCAUUCAUCGUGCACUUAAUUCACAACACCAACCAUAUAUGGCUAACAAGCAUAAUCACAUCAUCACAUCACAAGCAUUAGAACAUAACAUAGAUAGAUAAGUUCACAAACCACAAUCAAUAUGAGCCACUCAUCAUGGCCAUAUAUAAGUAACUCAAUGUAAGCCAAUACCUUUG
rnacentral:lncRNA from 1 species